UGGAGAUGAAAUUCAAUAAAGAGAUGAGGUUAAGGAGAUACAAUGAAAGAGGGAGGCGGCCAUUUUCAUCGCUCCAGACAACAACAAUAAUGAAAGGCAAAUUACGUUUAGGCUUAGGUGAAAUUUCUCCAAGCCAAACCCUCUACCCAUGCUAAAGGUUAGGUCCGAGCAUUUUAUCUGGACCCGAAAUCUUGAACCGAUCCGAAAAUACCCG
rnacentral:lncRNA from 1 species